CGCGGCGGCGUGGCACGCGAGGAGGGCGCGUGCUGAGGUUCGAAUUUGGACGGGUCGCCAGAACGAGCGCGAGCUGGCGACGACCCGGAGGGACGUGUUCCAGUGGCGACCGGGGCGGCUACCGGUCCGCAUAGGAGCCUGUUCUUGGAGCACAGCCGGGCCAGCCCACACACGAGCGGGUAUACCGGUCCGCUCGGGCAACCGUCCGAGGCUCGUUGGGACCAGGGGACGACUCCGGCCUCUUAAUGGUCCGCCCUCUUGACCGUGCCUGUGGUCCCGCCCGAGAGCUGCCGCCGAGACCGAGUACAGCGCUGCAGUUCGUGGGUCCACCAGCAGUGCUGAUGGCGGAGCUCGUCGCCAGCGGGCCAGUCACGCUCCUCAAGCCCAGAGCGGAGAGCGGUCCACCGCGGUGCCAGGGAGGCGCGGCAGGUCCACAAGACGACACGCCCGCAGACAUUCGGCGUACAGGAAAAGCAAGCAUUUGUGGAACUGAACCAAAGCUUUUGUUUGACGGCGGCUUACAAGAGUGCGGUGAGCGAUGCAUGGAAUCGUGGCCCGUGGAUAUGCUUGUUGCAAGAUCCACAAGCAGAAUCGGGUCACCAUUCAGCAGACUUCCUCAAGCACGCACUGUACAAAGGCGUUCAAGUCGAACUAUGAUAUUAGGCUACUGCCGGCGGAAGUACUGAUGGAUGUUUUGGCCAGCCAUGAGCUCAAUGUAUAAAAAGAGUGUCUCGUGCUGAAGGCCAUUGCCCGCUUGGCAGGACCCAACUUUGAAGCAACAUCGCAACUAGACGUUGCAAAAGUGCUGUCAGAAGUACGAAUUGGGCUCAUCGCCAAAACGGAAAAGCGAGCAUUUGAGGAACAGCACCAAAGCUUUUGUUCAGCGGUGAUUUCGAGAGAGCGGUGAGCGAUGCAGGGAAUCGUGGCCCGUGCACAUGCUUGUUGCAAGAUACACAAGCAAAAUCGGGCCACCAUGCUACUGACGGACCCACAGCACAAAGGCGUUCAAGUCGAACUACGUCAUCAGACUACUGCCGGCGGAAGUACUGAUAGAUGUUUUGGCCAGCGAUGAGCUCAAUGUGAAAAAAGAGUGUCUCGUGCUGAAGGCCAAUGCGCGCUGGGCAGGACCCAACUUUGAAACAACAUCGCAGCUAGACGUUGCAAAAGUGUUGUUAGAAGUAUGAAUUGGGCUCAUCAGCAAAAUGGAAAAGCGAGCAUUUGAGGAACAGCACCAAAGCUUUUGUUCAGCGGUGAUUUUGAGAGAGCGGUGAGUGAUGCAGGGAAUCGUGGCCCGUGCACAUGCUUGUUGCAAGAUCCACAAGCAAAAUCGGGCACCAUGCUACUGACGGACCCACAGCACAAAGGCGUUCAAGUCGAACUAUGAUAUUCGGCUACUGCCGGCGGAAGUACUGAUGGAUGUUUUGGCCAGUGAUGAGCACAAUGUGAAGAAGGAGUGUCUCGUGCUGAAGGCCAUUGCACGCUGGGCAGGACCCAACUCUGAAACAACAUCGCAACUAGACGUUGCAAAAGUGCUGUCAGAAGUUCGAAUUGGGCUCAUCGCCAAAACGCAAGGUUUUCGCCUCGGUUGGCUACAUCUGGCCAAUCUCCGAUGCGGACAACGCAUGGCCGCGCCAGGUGGCUACAUCUAUGUGGUCGGUGGAUGUGAUGGCAGAAGACGCCUCAAAACAGGUGAUCGACACAGUGGCCAGCGAAAAUUCUGACAUCUAUCAUCAAGUUCUGGACACCAUCGGAAUGACCCUACAUGAUUUCAUGAAAAUAAAACUAUACUGUCUUUCUUUGUUCCA